rnacentral:tRNA from 1 species
GCCUGGCUGGCUCAGUGGGUAGAGCGUGCGACUCUUGAUCUCAGGGUUGUGGUUUCGAGCCCCACACUGGGCG